rnacentral:tRNA from 1 species
AAGACGCUAGUAAAACUGAAUAUUACACCACUUUGUCAAGGUGGAAUCGCGGGUUGAACCCCCGCGCGUCUUG